AUGUCCAACUGGUUCAAACUGGUUUGGCUCUUAUAUUUCAUGGUAUAAACCAGAAAAACAUUGCUUUGCGAUAUACAUGCGCCAUUUUAAGCAGCUCCCCAGUCUGCACAGUACUGUGACCCUCUUGUGAGGAGGAAAAAAAAGCCUUUGUUACGCAUCUUUUUUCCCAAAUUUUAUCGGCGACGACAUGGCUAAAGCAAAGCCGUCAUGUGGCACCAUUGAGAGAAGAUGUUCCCCACGCCUGGCAGUGAAACCCAAAGCUGCUCCAGCAGAAGCCAAGAAGAAAGCUGCUGCCAAAAAGUUGCCUAAAGCAAAGAAGGCCAAGGCAGAGAAUGGCAACACCAAGGCUGAGGAGCCCAAGGCUGACACCGCAGAAGCCAAAUGAGUUAACGUCGACACGGUCGCUUUGCCCACUGCCCCUUUGCCCCCCAUCCCUCCUGUGUACUUGGUGAUUGUACAGUUUGAAAUAAGUAUUUUUUACCAAGUUUUAUAUUACAAAUGUCAUUUAUUCGGUUUGCCCUUGCACUUGACGUAACACAUUGUGUUCUCACUACGCUCACUCAUAUCUAUUUUGGAAAUUCUUACACCCCCGCCGUCCGUACUUCGUAGCUUGGCGUCUCUCUCAUUUCUGUCUUUUAUUUUGUUUUUAACUGCUGAUUAAUAGAUACUUCACCAUGCUUUUUUUUCUCUCCAAACAUAGGGCAGCUAUUAAAAAAAAUUUUUUGAGUCACGGCUUACCAAAUGUUUUUGAAACACUGUAUGUUGUUUAAAAAAAAACAGAUCUGCCACCCUCCCCAAGAAACUUGUUUGUGAAUUUAAAUCACCCGAUGACGAAGUUUCCCGCUAAGCUAUGUUUAUGACUCUGAUGGUUAAUCUAAAUGUUAAAGAAAUAAACAUUUUUAAAAAGCUCUCA